UGAAGUAUGCGUAAUGUCAAAUGUCAGCCUCGUGGGAUCUUCCGUCCUGUCAAAUCCAUCCUUUGUCUCUUUUCAAUCGACACGCUUUCAUCGUUUCGCCUCGUCUCGAUAUGUGCAUACAGUGCUUGUGCGUUCGGAACAGAGCUAUUUCGUAGGAGAGAGAUUGCGUUAAUCUUCUUAUUACUCACUGUCAGCAACAAUGCAGAUAUGCGUCAUGUAAUAUGAGGACAAUCGUUCAACCAGAUUCAGUUUCAGUUCUGUCAUCUCGCACGAAGGAGCAUUGAAUGAACGACAUAAAAUUUGGGAAUAGAUAUAUCCAGUAAGAAAGUUACUUUUAUCCUAUCAACAAUGGCAUGGACAACUUAUCAACGUACAUUGGCUAUGCUUCAAAUAAUUACAGGCUCAUUUAAUACUUUAUCAGUCAAAUACGCAGAUCGACAAGUGGUACUUGGACAAGAUGAUCAACUUAGGCAUUUUAAUCAUCCUUUUAUGCAAUCGUUAUUCAUGUUUAUUGGGGAGGCUUUUUGUUUCUUAGCAUUUAAAAUUCUCUAUUAUUAUUAUAAUCGACGAGCUGAUGGCUCUGUAGAUAAUAAUGUACUCACUAAGGGUUCGAGGAUGUUUAAUCCUAUCAUUUUACUUGUACCUGCAUUGUGUGAUAUGUGUGCAACAUCCAUAAUGUACAUUGGUCUGAACAUGACUUAUGCAAGUAGUUUUCAAAUGUUGCGUGGAUCAGUAAUUGUUUUUACAGGAAUACUUUCUAUUGGAUUUCUCAAUAGAAAAUUGGGAAUGAGAGAAUGGAUAGGAAUUGGUUUUGUCAUAACAGGUUUAGCAUUUGUCGGUAUUAGUGAUAUAUUAACAAUGGAAGAUGCUGAUAUCAGUGCAAAUUCCAUAAUCACUGGAGACUUGCUCAUUAUAUUUGCUCAGGUAAUAACAGCUGUACAAAUGGUUGUUGAGGAAAAAUAUAUGGGGGAACAAGAUAUUCCUGCAUUACAGGCGAUUGGAUGGGAGGGUAUCUUUGGAUGUAUUGGUAUUUCUAUUGCUUUGAUUCCCCUCAAUUACAUUAUUGCUCCACCGCCUUUUGCUGAUAAUUCACGCGGCACUCUUGAAGCCACUACGGAAGCUCUUAUCGAAAUUGGAAGCAGUAGUAAAUUGUUGAUAGCUGUUAUCGGUAUAGCAUUUAGUAUUGCUUUCUUCAAUUUUGCUGGUAUUAGUGUUACCAAAGAGAUGAGCGCUACGACGAGGAUGAUUUUAGACAGUGUCCGUACCAUUGUAAUAUGGGUCUUUUGUUUAGCGUUACAAUGGCAAGUCUUCCAUUACAUGCAGACUUAAACAUAAAAAAAGGAUUUUCACCUGAAGACCAAUUGGCAGUUGAUUUUUAUCAAAACCGAGUGGGCAUUGUGUGACCGGAAAUCCCAACACAUUGAAGAUCAUCAUCUGUUUGGUGUAAAAAGAACUUACUGGGCGUAGGUUUAUGGCCGAAAAUUCCGCAAAACAUAGCUGGAAGUCUGGCUGAUCCAGCGAUGUCUGAAACUAAGCCUAGAAGGGAGGCGCCAGCGCCAAGAAGAGCAGCCUGAAUUAAAAAUACCCAACUGCUAUUUUAUUAUAAUCUUCUCUUAUAUAUUUGUAUAAUAAAAAUAAUUAAAAUUUUAAACUCUUACAGAGAUUUCCCGGAGGAAAAUCACGCGUUUUUUUAAAAAGAGGGAAACACAACGUACCUCGCCACCGGAAGAGCCGCCAGCGGUCCUCCGAGUGUCAUAAGGAUUCUUCGUGGCACCAGUUAUUUUGUUAUACGUAUGCCACCACAGGCACAAUUCUGGUGUAUUACUGACAAGGAGAGGAAUCCCACCGGCCUCACGAAUCUUCGUCACGACGUUUGCAUCACUCGUCGCCCUCGAAGGAACGUCCUUCAUUCCCACCGUAUAACUCAUCCCUACAGGAACUUCUGAAUUUUUUUGAACACCUAGAUGUCACACUAACAUGGUAAAUUGGAGAAUUAUUCGAAUGUGUGACUGACGUAAAUGCGUAAUUUGAUAAUUUUUAACAAUGUACAUGAAAAAACUGGGAAUUCAUGUUAUUUAAAUAUAAGUUCGUGUUGUAAUAAUGUUUUACAAAUUAAAUCAUUAACAGGAUUCCGUUCGCCGACACAUAUAUGCAUAUAUCGAUUACAUUCGAGAGGAUUGAAAUAUGUGACCCACCUUGAACAGCAAUACUUUCUUUAAUCGUAACAGGUAAUCCCAGCAACGGUUUCUCGCUCGCAAUUCUCGCUUCGUCCAUCGUCGUCGAUUUCAAAAAGUCAUCGAUUUUACGGGCUUCUUGAACCGCCGCCUCGAAUCGAUCCUCUACGAUCGCGUUGAUCAACGGAUUCACCUCCUUGCAUCGCUUCACGUAUGCGGUAACCACUUCUUCGGAACCAAUCUUAAAUAAGGUUCUAGGUCGUAUAUUCUCCACAUGGUUCAUUGAAACGAUAAUAAGACACGAGACAAGAAUUCUAAGAGGCCGCCCUACCUCCUCUUCAGUCGUGUACACCCGCGUCAUCGUAUAUAAUAAAUCGAAUAUAAAAGGGCACUGAAAACAAUUUUCUCUCUUCUUGGGAUGAUCUUCAUCACUUAAAUACGAUUCGAAUUUGAGUGAGCGAACGUCACACGUCCAGUUCGCGACCAUCACCAGUUCAUGACUAAUUCACACCGAUUCAAAAAGGAAACCAUCGACAGAAACGAGUCUGAAGAAGCAACGAGUGGGGCAAAGUUGUUGAAGCACGUUUCGUGACGCUUUGUUUCGUCUAUCAUUUCCGUUUUAACGGACUUACGGUACAUUUUGACGCAGUUCUGAAAACAUUGGACUUAUUAUUUUAGCAUAUUAUUAUUAUUAUUAUUAUAUCUAU